rnacentral:rRNA from 1 species
UUAUACAGUGAAACUGCGAAUGGCUCAUUAAAUCAGUUAUCGUUUAUUUGAUAGUACCUUACUACUUGGAUAACCGUGGUAAUUCUAGAGCUAAUACAUGCUUAAAAUCCCGACUGUUUGGAAGGGAUGUAUUUAUUAGAUAAAAAAUCAAUGCCUUCGGGCUCUUUGAUGAUUCAUAAUAACUUUUCGAAUCGCAUGGCCUUGUGCUGGCGAUGGUUCAUUCAAAUUUCUGCCCUAUCAACUUUCGAUGGUAGGAUAGUGGCCUACCAUGGUUUCAACGGGUAACGGGGAAUAAGGGUUCGAUUCCGGAGAGGGAGCCUGAGAAACGGCUACCACAUCCAAGGAAGGCAGCAGGCGCGCAAAUUACCCAAUCCCGACACGGGGAGGUAGUGACAAUAAAUAACGAUACAGGGCCCUUUUGGGUCUUGUAAUUGGAAUGAGUACAAUGUAAAUACCUUAACGAGGAACAAUUGGAGGGCAAGUCUGGUGCCAGCAGCCGCGGUAAUUCCAGCUCCAAAAGCGUAUAUUAAAGUUGUUGCAGUUAAAAAGCUCGUAGUUGAACCUUGGGCUUGGCUGGCCGGUCCAUCUUUUUGAUGCGUACUGGACCCAGCCGAGCCUUUCCUUCUGGGUAGCCAUUUAUGGCGAACCAGGACUUUUACUUUGAAAAAAUUAGAGUGUUCAAAGCAGGCCUUUGCUCGAAUAUAUUAGCAUGGAAUAAUAGAAUAGGACGUUAUGGUUCUAUUUUGUUGGUUUCUAGGACCAUCGUAAUGAUUAAUAGGGACGGUCGGGGGUAUCAGUAUUCAGUUGUCAGAGGUGAAAUUCUUGGAUUUACUGAAGACUAACUACUGCGAAAGCAUUUACCAAGGACGUUUUCAUUAAUCAAGAACGAAAGUUAGGGGAUCGAAGAUGAUCAGAUACCGUCGUAGUCUUAACCAUAAACUAUGCCGACUAGGGAUCGGUUGUUGUUCUUUUUUAUUGACGCAAUCGGCAC